GAAGAUUUAGUUAAAUUAAUAACAUUAGACUGUCAAACUAAAAUUAUCAGUAUAUUUGAUACUCUUCU
rnacentral:tRNA from 1 species